rnacentral:lncRNA from 1 species
AGGAAGGGAAAGAAGGGGAAAAAAGGGGGAAGGGGAAAUGGGAGAGGGAAAAAGGAAGGGGAAGGGAAAGAGGGAGAAAGGGAAAAGGGUGAAAGAAGAGAGGGAAAAGAAGGGAAAAGAAGGGAAAAGAAGGAAAGGGGGAAAGGAAAAGGGAAGAGGAAAAGGAAAAGGGAAUCUCAGGACCUGAUGAGCUCCUGCUUCCUGCGGCGCUCCAGCUCCUCCUGCAGCUGCAGCUCCUUCUCCCGGUCGCUGUCCAUGAGCCGCUCCAGGCGCUGCUCCUCCGCCCGCAGCUCCCCCUGGAUCUGCCGCUUCUCCGCCAGCUGCCGGUCCAGGAUGGAGCUGCAGCGGGCGCUGAGCAGGAGCUGCGGGAAUGGGAAUGGGAAUGGGGAAUGGGAAAUGGGAAUGGGAAUGGGAAUGGGAAAUGGGAAUGGGAAAAUAGGAAUGGGAAUGGGAAUGGGAAAAUGGGAAUGGGAAUGGGGAAUGGGGAAUGGGAAUGGGGAAUGGGAAAUGGGGAAUGGGGAUGGGAAAUGGGAAAGGGAAUGGGAAUGGGAAAUGGGAAUGGGAAUGGGAAUGGGAAUGGGAAUGGGAAAUGGGAAUGGGAAAGGGCAAUGGGAAAUGGGAAAGGGAAUGGGAAUGGGGAAUGGGAAUGGGAAUGGGAAUGGGAAUGGGAAUGGGAAUGGGAAAUGGGAAUGGCGAAAAAGGAAGGGAAGGGAAGGGAAGGGAAGGGAAGGGAAGGGAAGGGAAGGGAAGGGAAGGGAAGGGAAGGGAAGGGAAGGGAAGGGNNNNNNNNNNGGAAGGGAAGGGAAGGGAAGGGAAGGGAAGGGAAGGGAAGGGAAGGGGAAGGGGAAGGUUCUGGCCGUACCGAGUUCAGCUGCCGCAUCUCAUCCUCCUGCUCCAUCCUCAUCCCGGCCGCGCGCUCCAGCAGCUCCCGCCGCUCCCGCUCCCGCUCCUGCUCCAGCUCCGAGCGGAUCUGCGCCUCCCGCAGCUCCUCCCGCCGCUGCUCCGCUCUGCGGGCCCGGCUGCGCUCCUCCUGCGGGACGGGGACAGCCACGCUGCCGGGGACAAUGCCAGCGUCCGGGGGGACACCGCCGGGGACAUUCCUGAGGGCAUUCCCGGGGUCCUGGGGGCAGGGACNNNNNNNNNNAGGGACACUGCCGGGGACAUUCCUGAGGGCAUUCCCGGGGUCCUGGGAACAUUCCC